rnacentral:rRNA from 2 species
GGUUAAGCGACUAAGCGUACACGGUGGAUGCCCUGGCAGUCAGAGGCGAUGAAGGACGUGCUAAUCUGCGAAAAGCGUCGGUAAGGUGAUAUGAACCGUUAUAACCGGCGAUGUCCGAAUGGGGAAACCCAGUGUGAUUCGUCACACUAUCGUUAACUGAAUACAUAGGUUAACGAGGCGAACCGGGGGAACUGAAACAUCUAAGUACCCCGAGGAAAAGAAAUCAACCGAGAUUCCCCCAGUAGCGGCGAGCGAACGGGGAGCAGCCCAGAGUCUGAAUCAGCUUGUGUGUUAGUGGAACGGUCUGGAAAGUCCGACGGUACAGGGUGAUAGUCCCGUACACCAAAAUGCACAGGCUGUGAACUCGAAGAGUAGGGCGGGACACGUGGUAUCCUGUCUGAAUAUGGGGGGACCAUCCUCCAAGGCUAAAUACUCCUGACUGACCGAUAGUGAACCAGUACCGUGAGGGAAAGGCGAAAAGAACCCCGGCGAGGGGAGUGAAAAAGAACCUGAAACCGUGUACGUACAAGCAGUGGGAGCACCUUCGGGUGUGACUGCGUACCUUUUGUAUAAUGGGUCAGCGACUUAUAUUCUGUAGCAAGGUUAACCGUAUAGGGGAGCCGCAGGGAAACCGAGUCUUAACUGGGCGUUAAGUUGCAGGGUAUAGACCCGAAACCCGGUGAUCUAGCCAUGGGCAGGUUGAAGGUUGGGUAACACUAACUGGAGGACCGAACCGACUAAUGUUGAAAAAUUAGCGGAUGACUUGUGGCUGGGGGUGAAAGGCCAAUCAAACCGGGAGAUAGCUGGUUCUCCCCGAAAGCUAUUUAGGUAGCGCCUCGUGAAUUCAUCUUCGGGGGUAGAGCACUGUUUCGGCUAGGGGGUCAUCCCGACUUACCAACCCGAUGCAAACUACGAAUACCGAAGAAUGUUAUCACGGGAGACACACGGCGGGUGCUAACGUCCGUCGUGAAGAGGGAAACAACCCAGACCGCCAGCUAAGGUCCCAAAGUCAUGGUUAAGUGGGAAACGAUGUGGGAAGGCACAGACAGCCAGGAUGUUGGCUUAGAAGCAGCCAUCAUUUAAAGAAAGCGUAAUAGCUCACUGGUCGAGUCGGCCUGCGCGGAAGAUGUAACGGGGCUAAACCAUGCACCGAAGCUGCGGCAGCGACACUAUGUGUUGUUGGGUAGGGGAGCGUUCUGUAAGCCUGCGAAGGUGACCUGUGAGGGUUGCUGGAGGUAUCAGAAGUGCGAAUGCUGACAUAAGUAACGAUAAAGCGGGUGAAAAGCCCGCUCGCCGGAAGACCAAGGGUUCCUGUCCAACGUUAAUCGGGGCAGGGUGAGUCGACCCCUAAGGCGAGGCCGAAAGGCGUAGUCGAUGGGAAACAGGUUAAUAUUCCUGUACUUGGUGUUACUGCGAAGGGGGGACGGAGAAGGCUAUGUUAGCCGGGCGACGGUUGUCCCGGUUUAAGCAUGUAGGCUGGUUAUCCAGGCAAAUCCGGAUAAUCAAGGCUGAGGUGUGAUGACGAGGCACUACGGUGCUGAAGUAACAAAUGCCCUGCUUCCAGGAAAAGCCUCUAAGCAUCAGGUAACAUCAAAUCGUACCCCAAACCGACACAGGUGGUCAGGUAGAGAAUACCAAGGCGCUUGAGAGAACUCGGGUGAAGGAACUAGGCAAAAUGGUGCCGUAACUUCGGGAGAAGGCACGCUGGUGUGUAGGUGAAGUCCCUGCGGAUGGAGCUGAGACCAGUCGAAGAUACCAGCUGGCUGCAACUGUUUAUUAAAAACACAGCACUGUGCAAACACGAAAGUGGACGUAUACGGUGUGACGCCUGCCCGGUGCCGGAAGGUUAAUUGAUGGGGUUAUCCGUAAGGAGAAGCUCUUGAUCGAAGCCCCGGUAAACGGCGGCCGUAACUAUAACGGUCCUAAGGUAGCGAAAUUCCUUGUCGGGUAAGUUCCGACCUGCACGAAUGGCGUAAUGAUGGCCAGGCUGUCUCCACCCGAGACUCAGUGAAAUUGAACUCGCUGUGAAGAUGCAGUGUACCCGCGGCAAGACGGAAAGACCCCGUGAACCUUUACUAUAGCUUGACACUGAACAUUGAGCCUUGAUGUGUAGGAUAGGUGGGAGGCUUUGAAGCGUGGACGCCAGUCUGCGUGGAGCCAACCUUGAAAUACCACCCUUUAAUGUUUGAUGUUCUAACGUUGGCCCCUUACCGGGGUUGCGGACAGUGUCUGGUGGGUAGUUUGACUGGGGCGGUCUCCUCCCAAAGCGUAACGGAGGAGCACGAAGGUUAGCUAAUCCUGGUCGGACAUCAGGAGGUUAGUGCAAUGGCAUAAGCUAGCUUGACUGCGAGCGUGACGGCGCGAGCAGGUGCGAAAGCAGGUCAUAGUGAUCCGGUGGUUCUGAAUGGAAGGGCCAUCGCUCAACGGAUAAAAGGUACUCCGGGGAUAACAGGCUGAUACCGCCCAAGAGUUCAUAUCGACGGCGGUGUUUGGCACCUCGAUGUCGGCUCAUCACAUCCUGGGGCUGAAGUAGGUCCCAAGGGUAUGGCUGUUCGCCAUUUAAAGUGGUACGCGAGCUGGGUUUAGAACGUCGUGAGACAGUUCGGUCCCUAUCUGCCGUGGGCGCUGGAGAAUUGAGGGGGGCUGCUCCUAGUACGAGAGGACCGGAGUGGACGCAUCACUGGUGUUCGGGUUGUCAUGCCAAUGGCACUGCCCGGUAGCUAAAUGCGGAAGAGAUAAGUGCUGAAAGCAUCUAAGCACGAAACUUGCCCCGAGAUGAGUUCUCCCUGAGACUUUAAGUCUCCUGAAGGAACGUUGAAGACGACGACGUUGAUAGGCCGGGUGUGUAAGCGCAGCGAUGCGUUGAGCUAACCGGUACUAAUGAACCGUGAGGCUUAACCUU